rnacentral:rRNA from 1 species
AGAGUUUGAUCCUGGCUCAGGAUGAACGCUGGCGGCGUGCCUAACACAUGCAAGUCGAGCGAGAAAUCUUGGAAUGAGACUUCGGUUAAGUGAAGAGAUGGAAAGCGGCGGACGGGUGAGUAACGCGUAGGCAACCUGCCUUAUGCAGAGGGAUAGCCAUUGGAAACGAUGAUUAAAACCUCAUAAAGCCAUUUUAUCACAUGGUGAGAUGGUCAAAGAUUUAUCGGCAUAAGAUGGGCCUGCGUCUGAUUAGCUAGUUGGUGGGGUAACGGCCUACCAAGGCGACGAUCAGUAGCCGACCUGAGAGGGUGAUCGGCCACAUUGGAACUGAGACACGGUCCAAACUCCUACGGGAGGCAGCAGUGGGGAAUAUUGCACAAUGGGCGAAAGCCUGAUGCAGCAACGCCGCGUGAAGGAAGAAGGUCUUCGGAUCGUAAACUUCUGUCCUUGGGGAAGAUAAUGACGGUACCCUUGGAGGAAGCCCCGGCUAACUACGUGCCAGCAGCCGCGGUAAUACGUAGGGGGCAAGCGUUAUCCGGAAUUAUUGGGCGUAAAGAGUGCGUAGGUGGUUACCUAAGCAGGGGGUGAAAGGCACUGGCUUAACCAAUGUCAGCCCCCUGAACUGGGUACCUUGAGUGCAGGAGAGGAAAGCGGAAUUCCUAGUGUAGCGGUGAAAUGCGUAGAUAUUAGGAGGAACACCAGUGGCGAAGGCGGCUUUCUGGACUGUUACUGACACUGAGGCACGAAAGUGUGGGGAGCAAACAGGAUUAGAUACCCUGGUAGUCCACACCGUAAACGAUGAGCACUAGGUGUCGGGGGCGCAAGUCCUCGGUGCCGGAGUUAACGCAUUAAGUGCUCCGCCUGGGGAGUACGUACGCAAGUAUGAAACUCAAAGGAAUUGACGGGGACCCGCACAAGCAGCGGAGCAUGUGGUUUAAUUCGAAGCAACGCGAAGAACCUUACCAGGGCUUGACAUCCCUCUGACAGGACUUUAAUCGGUUCCUUCUUCGGACAGAGGAGACAGGUGGUGCAUGGUUGUCGUCAGCUCGUGUCGUGAGAUGUUGGGUUAAGUCCCGCAACGAGCGCAACCCUU